AUUGGGUAUCUGUUGCUAUACUCUUUUGCUUAACAAGAAGCUAUUAUUAUACCUAAAAUCUGGGUUUGUCUCCUGUCCUACUUGGGUGCCUGAUGAUUUUAGAUGAAAAAGAUUUCCUUUCUCUUAGUAGUCCCUUGUUUCCACUGGAGUUAAAGUUUAUAGAUACCAUUUUCUCCUAUGGCUGCAUUUUAUUGGAUUGUUAAUCUACAUCCAGUUUCAAAUGUCUGAAAGCUCUGUGACCCGAUGAACACGUUUACAUACCGUUGCCAGUCGCUCAUUUACAUACCGUUGCCUUGGCUCAUUUACACCUGCCAAAAGAUGAAUGAACACAAAUGCUUUCCAAAGGAUUAUCUGCAAAUGAUCCAAAAAUGUCUUUGUGAGUACUUUUAUUUAAUUUUUGAGAUCACCACUUAUAGCUGUGAUUUGGCAAGUCUUUCUUUCUUACAAAUACCUCAUCAUCUUUCACAGAUUAUGAAAAACGAGUUUGAAUCCAAUCUUAUCUGCGAAUUUUAUUACCUUUCUUCAAUGUUGAGAGCAACUUUUUGUGAGAGCAACUGGCUGAGGCUUAAAUAUGGGUUUUUUUUUUCAAAAAAGUUCUUGGUGUUUCCCAAUCAUAUACCAUCUUAUGUCAUCAAAUCAUGCCAUUUCUUCUUCCUGGACUGCUUUUGAAAGAUAAUGCAUCCUUCAAGCUUUACUGAGGUGCAAACAAGAAUUGGUCACUCUGUCCUUCAACUUAUCCGACUACCACCUGCUCCACCCACCCCAGCAUGUGGUCUACACACCCCUUUCAUGGUGUAUUUUCUUGUGUUUCUAGCUUGUAUAUGUCUGCUGUAUCCAAAUAAAUGCUCUUGAAUGAGAGGUCCAAUAUCUCCUUUGUGUAAUAUGUAAGAGAGGAAAGAUG
rnacentral:lncRNA from 1 species